rnacentral:lncRNA from 1 species
UCCAUACUCCCAAGUUAGUGAUAAGCUAUCCUAAGCUAUGUUAGCAUGAAAGUAAAUAAAGGUUAUACUAUUAGUAAAAGGUACCGCAUGGAAGUGUUAGAAUGGGUAGUACUAAUAAUAGUAAUAGUAAUAAUAAUACUAAUAGAAAAGAGAAAGAAAUUAAAAACAAACAUAGAGUGAAAAUAAUAAAAAUGAAAACAACUAAAAAGAAAAGAUAAAAAUUAAAGGUCGUGAUUGUCGUUCCACGUAGCGCUUC